AAUUUCACCCCUAAAUUGACGAAGAUUAUCUUCAAAAAUCGGUGGCGGCAAUUCUUCAAAAUCCUCGAGGAACGACGAGAAGUGCUCGUCCCUCUGAUUCGAGCAAGACAAAACAAGGCAAAGCAGGGCAGCAAAAACGACGACAAUGACGAUGAAUUUGUGUUGUCGUAUACUGAUACGCUGCUGGACCUCGAGCUUCCCGACGGAAACAAAAAGCGGAAGCUUUCGGAGGGAGAAAUGGUCAGCCUCUGCUCAGAGUUUCUGAACGGCGGCACCGACACGACUUCCACCGCGCUGCAGUGGAUCAUGGCCAACGUAGUGAAGUACCCGCAAGUUCAGGAGAAGCUGUUUGCGGAGAUUAAAGGGGUUAUGGGAGAAACGGAGGACGAGCUGCGGGAGGAGGUCCUGCACAAGCUGCCGUAUCUGAAAGCCGUGAUCUUGGAGGGGCUGAGGCGCCACCCGCCGGGCCACUUUGUGCUGCCGCACGCGGUGACGCAUGACGUGGUUUUGGGCGGACACGUGGUGCCCAAGAACGGGAGUGUUAAUUUCAUGGUGGCGGAUAUAGGCUGGGACCCUCAAGUGUGGGAAGAUCCCAUGGCGUUCAAGCCGGAGAGGUUCUUGAGCAGCGGCGGAGGAGAAGAAGGGUUCGAUUUGACGGGGAGCAGGGAGAUUAAGAUGAUGCCGUUUGGGGCAGGGAGGAGAAUCUGUCCUGCGUCGGGAUUGGCGGUGCUUCACCUGGAGUACUUUGUGGCGAAUUUGGUGUGGAAAUUUGAGUGGAGAGCUGUGGAGGGAGAUGACGUGGACCUGUCGGAGAAGCAGGAGUCUACUGUGGUGAUGAAGAAUCCAUUGCAAGCCCACGUAAUCCCUAGAAUUUAAUGCGUGGGAGAAUUCUGUAAUAAUUUUUCGAUAUACUUUGAACUGUCAAAUCCAUCAAUGUAUGCUCUUCAUUGAUUAUGCAAUUUCGAAAAUUUGGAAUUUUAGUUUACUAGUGUGAUACAAGACAGAUUUUAUAACUUCAAUAUUUAGUGAGUGAUUUGAGUGAGCUGUACUUGCUACUUUUUAGCUUAUAACUAAUACAACUUUCCAAUCUUGGAAGACAUCUUCUGUAUUUAGAGAUUGCCCAAUAGCAAGGAGCAUUUGAGAAUUUGAUGGGAAUGCCUACAUAGUUACAACUCUCCUUUAAUCUUGGUGUUACAACUUGUUUGAUGACUAAUUCGAUAUCCCAGUUAUUGUGGUCUGAACAAACUCGGUGGAGUAGUGUUUUUGUUUUUACCUUCGUAUAUAUAGAAAUGGAAGAAUAAACAACUUUUUGAAGACAACUUCUUUCCGACAAAGGUGUUAUGGUACCAUUUCUGUUCAUUGCUUAAUUUGUUAGACUAUGCUUCGUCCUAAAAAUUCGUCAACUGAAGUAAUCUGAAGUUUUCAACUUCAUGUUUUGAGCCUCGGAGAUAAGGUUAAGCUCUAUGGAACUACUAUAUUUACAACAAUCUCGAUCUGAUUUCUUUGACAUGUUGAAUUUGUUGGUGGGACGCUGAGAUGCAAUGAAUAUGUGACAUUACGCAAAGUUGGAGAUGCAAGCCAUAAGGUUGGUCAUAUACAAUAUGCUAAUAGUAUUUGCACCCACAUUUUUAGCACAACAGUUCCAUAGCUAGAGUUCUAGUUUGCGGACGGAAAGUCUGACUAGCGUAUAUAUAAUUUGAUCUUUUGUAGGGUGGUGGUUCUGGCACCCAACAAAUUGUGAUUGAAGGCCCCUUAUGUGAGAAUUAUUACAAGAUUCGGGAGUAUCUCUAGUCACAAUUUUAUGUCCUUUAAGACCAUCUCCAACCUUUGGGGACAAAGCUUAAAAAUUUAAGCCAGAAAAUUUUAAGUCAUAAGCGAGAAACUGUUUUUCUCUUCUAACCCUUAUGGCUUAAAAUUUUAGCCUGUGAUGAUCAAAUAAUGAUUUUAGCCUAACUUUUUGUUUUCGGUAACUUUUUUUGAAAAUAAAAUUUACGUAGAUUAUCUUAAUCUAUUUUUAUAAAUAUUUUAGUCUAAAAAUAUUUAAAUUCCGAUAAGUAAUUAAAAAUCAUACAAAUACAUAGGUAUUUAUAAAGUUUUAAGUUAAAUUUGAUUUAAAUAAUUUUCUUAAAUUAUUUUAGAUGUUGAUUUAAUCUUGGACGGUCAAAUCUUUUUUUUACUUUUAGAUUUGAUCUCAUUUGAUCAUAACCGUUAAAUUAUAAGUAAAAAGCAAAAGAAAAAUUGAAAUAUAACAGUUUGGUGGAUUCAAAAUAAUUUAAGCCAACUUUAAAUCUUGGAGGAAUCUAGUUUAGAGAUAUAUUUUAUUUUAGCUUAUGGUUGGAGAUAGUUUGGAGGUUUUAAAAUUUAUAUUUUAAGCUUUAUUUUAUAAAUUAGAGAUCAUCUAAAUGGAUAGACAUAAUAUCUAAUGCCUUCAUAUGAACUUGAAUCACAAUGUUAACUUCCAGUGAUUCAGGAAACACACUAAAGUUUAAUUUCAACGUAGGACUUAUUUUUCGUCGAAGUUGUCAUGGACUCAUGGUCAGACAUUUUAAGUGAAAGUGACAAUAUGUGCAGCUGAGUUAAUGCCGUGGAAACUUGGUUCCUUAUAAUGUAUGGAAACUAACAAUUAAUGAGCAGACGCAGUUGCCCUUUUGUCUGAUUGCUUACGAUUCACCAUGGAAACCUGGUUCCUUGUCCUCAUCGCCCUCUGCGUCUCCUUCCUCCUCAAACCCCUUCUCUCUCUAUUCCUACCCACUUCCAUCUCCAGACCCAAUCUCCCUCUCGGGCCUCGCUUCUUCCCCAUCAUCGAGGGCUUCUUAUUCCUCCUCAAAUCUGCCUCGGAGCUCGAGCCUAUUAUCCGCAAACUCCAGGCCGAAUACGGGCCCAUCAUCUCCCUCCGCAUCGGCUCCCGCUCUACCGUCUUCGUCGCCGACCGCUCCCUCGCCCACCAGGCCUUAAUCCAGAACGGAGCCGUGUUCGCCGACCGCCCCCGGGCCUUGGCCACCAACAAGUGUCUCAACAGCAACCAGCACACCAUCGGCUCCGCCGGCUACGGUCCCUCGUGGCGUCUCCUCCGCCGCAAUAUCACCUCCGAAAUCCUCCACCCUUCCCGCGUUAAAUCCUACGGCAACGCCCGCAAAUGGGUUCUCGACAUCCUUGUCAACCGCCUCAAAACCGAGUCUCAAUCCCACUCAGAAGACGUCGCCAGCGGCGUCAGGGUGGUCGACCAUUUCCGAUACGCCAUGUUCUGCCUCCUGGUUCUGAUGUGCUUCGGCGACAAAAUGAACGAAGAGCAAAUCAAAGAAAUCGAGCGUGUGAACCGCCAACUACUUUUGAGUUUCGGGCGGUUCAAUAUCCUCAAUUUCAAUCCAAAAUUGACGAAGAUUAUCUUCAAAAAUCGGUAGCGGCAAUUCUUCAAAAUCCUCGAGGAACGACGAGAAGUGCUCGUCCGUCUGAUUCGAGCACGACAAACCAGGGCGAAGCAGGGCAGCAAAACCGACGACAAAGACGAUGAAUUUGUGUUGUCGUAUACUGAUACGCUGCUGGACCUCGAACUUCCCGACGGCAACGAAAAGCGGAAGCUUUCGGAGGGAGAAAUGGUCAGCCUCUGCUCAGAGUUUCUGAACGCCGGCACCGACACGACUUCCACCGCGCUGCAGUGGAUCAUGGCCAACGUAGUGAAGUACCCGCAAGUUCAGGAGAAGCUGUUUGCUGAGAUUAAAGGGGUGAUGGGAGAAACGGAGGAGGAGGUGCGGGAGGAGGUCCUACACAAGCUGCCGUAUCUGAAAGCCGUGAUCUUGGAGGGGCUGAGGCGCCACCCGCCGGCGCACUUUGUGCUGCCGCACGCGGUGACGCAAGACGUGGUUUUGGGCGGACACGUGGUGCCCAAGAACGGGAGUGUUAAUUUCAUGGUGGCGGAUAUAGGCUGGGACCCGCAAGUGUGGGAGGAUCCCAUGGCGUUCAAGCCCGAGAGGUUCUUGGGCAGCGGCGGAGAAGAAGGGUUCGAUUUGACGGGGAGCAGGGAGAUUAAGAUGAUGCCGUUUGGGGCAGGGAGGAGGAUCUGUCCUGCGUCGGGAUUGGCGGUGCUUCACCUGGAGUACUUUGUGGCGAAUUUGGUUUGGAAGUUUCAGUGGAGGGCUGUGGAGGGAGAUGACGUUGACCUGUCAGAGAAGCGGGAGUUUACUAUGGUGAUGAAGAAUCCAUUGCAAGCCCACGUAAUCCCUAGAAUUUAAUACGUGUGAGAAUUCUGAGAAUUCUGUACUAAUUUUUAGUACGUGUGAGAAUCCUGUACUAAUUUUUAGGGUAAAUUACAUAGUAGUCACUCAUGUUUGAUGUCUAUUACAACCUCAUACAACGUCUUUAAAACAUUUCACUUUCAUACAUCAUUCAAAAUAAUACAUCCGUUAGAUUUUCCGUCCAUUAAUCUGUUAAAUACUGACGUGGCUGCCACAUCUGUGCUGAUGUGGCUGCCAAAUGUGUGUCACGUGGCAAAAAUAAUAAUUUUUUAAUUUUUUUUAAAAAAACCUAAAUCUUUGAAAUUUAAAAUAAAAUAAAAUAAAAUAAAAAAUAAAAAAAUAAAAACCCAAAAGCUGAACAAAACCCCACCCCCGUGAACCCCUCUCAGCCUUCUUCUUCCCCGCUCCCAUCUUCCCCCACCCCAUACUUGCACCUUUGAAGGAAAAAAAAAACCCAAAGAACAACCCAGAUCCCAUACCCCAUACGACCACCCCCCAACCCAUAUCCCAUUACCACGCCCCCCCUGCGCGCGCGCGCGCGAAACCCAACCCAGAUCCCAUUACCACCCCUCCGGCGCGAAACCCAUAUCCCCCCCCCCCGAACUGCAAGGACGUCAUCCUCACCUGCAUCAUCUUCAUCGUCGAAGACGACAACUGUGGAGCCAAAAAUAUUCACUAGGCGACACGUGGAUUUGUGAACGAAAGAGGACAAAAAUACCCUUGAGGUAUAUCGGGAUUCCUACGCGCAAGUAGUGGGUAAUCAUCCUCAACCAAUUCAAAAAUGCUCCAGAAGAGGUAACUAAUUCCAAAUUAUCUUAUUUUAGGUAAUUAUUUCCAAAACUUAAUUUCCCUAAUAUAUUAUUUAGUUAAUUAAUUAUCUAAAUAAUAUAUUCUUCCCAUAUCUCCUAAAAUCAUCCCUUAAUUACCAAUUUGAAACAUCCACUCAAACCUAAAAAAUGGGAUAGGGCCGGCUACCCCAUUCAAAGUCUAUUCCAUCACCUUUUUUUCUACCUUUUCCACCUUUCCUUCCCUUUUAAAUUAGCCAAUCAAUACCAUAAAUAAUAAAAUAUCUCCUUUCAUAUUUAAUUAGCCAAUUAAUUGGCUAAUUAAACCUAAAAUUAAACCUAAAAAUCCCAUAGUAACCGGCCACAUUCCCUCCCAUCUUUUCCCUACCUUUUUUUUUAUUUUCCUCCACUUUAUUACUCAAAUAAAGCUAAUCAUUUAAGACCCCAUUCAUUUCUAUUUUAUUAGCCAAUAAAGGGGCUAAUAAAAAACCACAAAUUGACUAAGAAAAAGGGAAGGGUGUGGCCGGCCCUUCCUUGGUGAAAAAUGGGGAAGCCUAAUCCUAUAAAUAGGCUCCUAUUCUCACCAAAAAUUCAUUCCAAACCUCUUGCAAAAAUUCCAAAACACUCUAAACACUAUUUCUCUCUAAAUUUCUAACUUUGGCAUCGGAGGUUCUUCGGCCAAAGCCCCCCCCAUUCAUCGUGGGCGCGUGAGGCUUUUGGCCUUAACCUAAGGUGCUAGUUUGUUUUGUAGGUGCAAAAUCGUCCAAGAUCGAAGAGGAGAAAAUUUGCAUCCACAAAUUGGUGCUUUCAUUGAGAGUUGUAAUCCAUACUCGUAGAAGACUCUCGUACAAAAAGGUUUUUUUCUUUAUUUUCUAGUCUAUUUGAAUAUUUUUCAUACGUUCUUAUUAUUAGAAUUUUCUACUUGCAAAGGUUCUUUGAUAAAACGUAUAAGAAAAAUAUAAUGACUAGAAAUUUAGAAAAUUCCGCAAGUAAAAAAUUCUAGUAUUCAAGAAAUGGGACUACGGAGAUCCAUGAGGCAAAAUGCGACAAGAAGGGGAGCGACAUCAUCACCACGAGCUUCCACCAUGGGAACCACCGUGAUGGCUACCUCGGUAGCCACCCGCGGCGAGGUCCAUGGUGCCUUCACCACGGCCGCCAUGGGAACCACCACGGUGGCUACUUCGGUAGCCGCUCGUGGCGAGGUCCAUGGAGCCUUCACCACAGCCGCCAUGGGAACCACCACGGUGGCUACUUCGGUAGCCACUCGUGGCGAGGUCCAUGGAGCCUUCACCACGGCCCGAGUCGUGCCAUCCAAGUUUACGUGGACCAAAGCCCAAGCCUCGCAUUCACAUGCACCGCGCAUUGAGCAGCCUGCUCCCCGUGAUCCAGCCUGCUCUUGUAGCCCAGCCUGCUCCAACGAUCCAGCCUGCCCCAGUGAUCCAGCCUGCCCCCGCAGCCCAGCCUGUUUUCAUGGUUUCCCAAGCUGCCCAAGUCCGCCCGAGACAAUCUCAACCAUCCGGACCAAUCAUCGAGGCUGAGGCGUUUUCACCGCAUUUCUCUGCAGAUUUGACAUUCCCCAACUCAAAUCUCGCACCUGGAGUCAACCACCCUUUCAUUGUUCAAGGAGGUGCAUUCCAUCCAAGUUCUUCCAAUCCGAAUGGCGAACAAAACUUGUCCCGACAAGUCAUAGAAUUGACGAGCGCCCUUGCACAACAAACCACCUUGGUGAAUCAACUUUUACAACGUACUGAGAUGCAUCGCGCUCACGAUGAAGUUUCCCGGAGUAGAACAAGGGUAGACAAUGAGCCUUUUAAACAGCGUCCUGGAAAGCAGCCAUUCAACCCAUCACAAGUGGAGCAUUCAGACAGUGCACACUCUCGAUUGGGCCCCCGAAAUAGCAUAUACUCCCGUCUUAGCGCGCGGAUGAGCGUGCACUCUCGGUUAGGCCCACGAGCAAGUAUACAUUCACGGUUGGGGCCACGCUUUGAUAAUCAACAUGGGCAACCUUCCAGGCAAAGCAUUCAUUCGCGAUUAGGCUCACAAGGAGUAUCCUCCACAUCACAUCGGAGCAGGCAGCCUGACAAACGGAAGGAAACGAUCGUUCAAUCUGGCUCUAGUUCAACCGAUAGCCUGCAAAGAAAUCCCUCGCCUGCUAGGAAUCUAUCUCAUCCAUUGCAGCCACAGCGUAGACGAGCCGAGCGAGAAGAAGAGCAGCCUAGACCGGUAGAAAAAGACCAAGGGCAGCAAAAAGCUCCGCUACCCCCAACAAAAGCAAAUCCAAGAAGAGGUAGAAAGGCUUUUCAAUGAGCGGAUGCGUGAUUUUCGGCGCAACGAAAUGGUUGAUGAGGCACUAAGGCGAGAUAUGACCAACAUGAGCAGGUCACCUUUCGCGGAUGAGAUCGAGCAGGCAGAGCCUCCGCGCAAGUUUAGCAUGCCACACUUCACAUCUUUCAAAGGAGAUGGGGAUCCCGAAAGACACUUGAAGCAUUACCGAAAUGCGAUGGUCCUUUAUCGGAAUAAUGACGCCCUUAUGUGCAAAAUAUUCGCCACUACUUUACAAGGCGAGGCACAAGAUUGGUUUCAUACCUUGCCGGCACGAUCCAUCCUGAAUUUUGAUGAUCUUUCCUUGGUCUUCACCAAAGAAUACUCAUCUUAUCGAUCGAUCAAGAAGAAGUCCGAUCACCUGUUCAACGUAAAGAAAAACCCAAAAGAGUCGCUUCGCGAUUACGUGAAGAGAUUCAAAGCAGAGAAGGCGAAGAUCGUCGGAUGCGACAACUCGAUAGCAAGUGCAGCCUUCCAAAAAGGACUACCAGCAGACCACCUACUGUUUGGAGAAAUGAUCAUGAAAGAAGACCUAACUCUAGCAGAUUCCUUUGCUCUGGCAGAAAAGCAUGCGCUUUGGGACGAGGCUCGACAAGCAGAAAAGGCUCCCGAACAACCUCGAAAAGAGUUGGCAGCUACUCAAAAGAAGGAUGAAAAACAACCCAACAAGGGCAGGCAGGAGUUCAAGCGCAGGGACCGACCCACGACCAAAGAAGGCCCGAUGACCAACAACUAUUCUAAGUUCUCAAUUCCGAUUCAUCAAAUCCUUCGUGACGUCAAGAAUGAACCAUGGUUCAAGUUGCCGAAGCAGUCAAAAGGAGAUACUUCCAAGUUGGACCACACUAAGUAUUGUGCAUUCCACCGAGGUCCCGGUCACACAACCAACGAUUGCUACACUUGGAAGAACUACCUAGAGAAACUCGUGAAAGAAGGCAAAGUCGAUAGAUAUUUGGACAAGCCAGCUGAGCAGCAAAAAAGGAAUGCAGACGGAGAUGAGGAGCCACCAACUAAGACGAUUCGAAUCAACGGCAUUUUUCGCUGAGUCCGAGCACUUAGGGGCUACUAAUAACUCCAAAAAGAGGAAGAUCCAGCAGGCCUUACUAAUCUCACAAGUUCAUGCAGUCGAUACCCAACCUGGACCUAUCAUUGGCUUCACGGAGCAGGAUGCAGAAGGAGUCGACUUCCCACACGACGAUGCAUUAGUAGUAUCUGUCCAACUAGCCCAUGCUAUAGUCGACAGGAUGAUGGUUGACAAUGGAAGUGCGGUCAACCUACUUCAACUUUCAGUCAUUCAGAAGAUGGGCCUGGAAAGUACAAUCAUACGCCGGGCAGAGGUACUUACUGGAUUCAACGGACACACCUCAACUGCCAUCGGUCAUAUCAUACUUGACGUAAAAACACCGCCAGUCGUCUCAAAGCAAACAUUCACGAUUGUAAGCGACCCAUCUCCCUACAAUGGGAUUCUUGGGAGACCUUGGUUGAUCAAGCUGGAUGCUGUCACUUCCGUCAAGUAUCAAAAAAUCUGAUUCCGCAUCCCGGAAGGAGGAGUCGGAGAGAUCAAGUCUGACCAGGCUUCAUCCCGACGAUGCACUGUGCAAAUGUUAAAAGAAACAAAGAAAAAGACCUUUACCCCCGUAGAGGUUACCGAAGUCCAAAAGGGCAAAGAAAUUGCCAAAUAGCAAUUACAGCAGGUGGAUCGAGAAGAUGGCACCCAAGCAGACAGGAUAGGAUGGAAACCCGAAGAGGACGCCGAAGACAUCAUUCUUGAUCCCCAGCAGCCGGAAAAGACGACUAAAAAUUGGCUCACGACUAAGCCCAGACGAGAAGGAAGAACUCACAAUUUUCCUUAGGAAAAACCGAGAUAUCUUCGCAUGGUCACCAUCCGACAUGCCCGGUAUUGAUCCCAAAGUGGCCUGCCACAAGCUGCACGUCGAUCCAACUGCCAAACCGGUAAUUCAAAAAAGAAGACAUUUCGCUCCCGAACGAGUAGCGAUCAUCGAGGCAGAAAUCGACAAACUAUUGGAGGCCGGUUUCAUAGAAGAGGUAGCACACUCGGCAUGGCUUGCUAAUGUCGUACUAGUCAUGAAGAAAGAGAAGGGCAAAUGAGGGGUUUGCGUAGACUACACUGACCUCAACAAAGCAUGCCCAAAAGACCAUUAUCCUGUCCCCCCGGAUUGAUCUAUUAGUAGAUUCAACUUCUGGAAACCAGUUACUUAGUUUCUUAAACGCAUACUCCGGCUACAACCAAAUAGCCAUGCAUGAGCCCGACAAGGAGAAAACUGCGUUCGUGAUAGAGCGAGGCACUUACUGCUACAAGGUCAUGCCUUUUGGCCUCAAGAACGCGGGAGCCACUUACCAAAGGUUAGUAAAUAUGAUGUUCAAAAAGCAAAUUGGGGUAACCAUGGAGGUCUAUGUCGACGAUAUCAUGGUAAAGGGCAAGCAGCGAUCAGAUCACAUUCGCAAUUUAGCAGAAGCUUUCAAUAUCCUUAGAAGGUACAAGAUGAAGCUCAACCCCACCAAGUGCACGUUUGGAGUAUCUUCAGGUCGAUUCCUAGGGUACUUAGUAACCCAACGAGGAAUUGAGGCACAUCCCAAGCAAAUCCAAGCAAUCAUAGAGAUGAAAUCUCCAACUACCUUGAAGGAGAUCCAAAGCUUGACCGGACGAGCAGCCGCCCUCAAUCGCUUCCUCUCACGAUCCACCGAUCGAUGCAAACCCUUUUUCAAAGCUAUCAAGAGGGCACAAAGAAACAAAUGGGAUGAAGAAUGCGAAAAAGCUUUCCAAGACUUGAAGAGUUAUCUCACAUCACCUCCCUUACUAUCCAAGCCGGAAGCAGCGGAGGAUUUAUAUAUUUAUUUGGCAGUUUCCGAGGUAGCAGUGAGCUCUGCUCUCAUACGAGAAGAGCUGGGGGCCCAACUGCCGGUAUUCUACACUUCUAAAGCUCUUCUCGAUGCAGAAACAAGAUAUCCGAAGAUCGAAAAAUUAAUUUUGGCGUUAGUUGUUGCGGCUCGGAAGCUCAGACCCUACUUUCAAACUCAUACAGUCAUUGUUAUGACUCAAUAUCCCUUACGAUCAAUAUUACAUGGUCCGGACGCUUCUCAACGAGUGAUGAAAUGGGCAUUGGAACUUGGCCAAUAUGGUUUAGUUUUCCAACCUCGCACAGCGAUAAAGGCCCAAGCCUUGGCGGAUUUCGUGGCAGAAUUCACACCUAGCCUAGGCAACGCAACAGUGCGGCCCAACGACGCCCCAGAAGCAGCAGAGAGUACCUUAGCCACACUUACUCCAUCCAAUAAAGAUUUCUGGAACUUGCAUGUCGACGGUGCAUCCAACUAUAAAGGCUCGGGAGCAGGUGUAGUUCUUGUUACUCCAGAUGGCUCAAUGCUCGAGCAGGCGAUCACUCUAGGUUUCAAAGCAUCCAAUAACGAAGCAGAGUACGAGGCUCUACUAGCGGGCCUCCGAAUGGCAAAAGACUUGGCGGUGAAGAAACUCGCAAUUCAUUCUGAUUCCCCAACUAAUCACCAGCCAGGCUACUGGGGAAUACACUGCAAAACACCCAAGGAUGGCACAAUACCUAGAGAAAGUACGCCAGCAGCUUGAAGCAUUUCAGACUUACACUCUCACUCAAGUUCCGCGGGCAGACAAUGCACAUGCAGAUGCACUAGCUGGUUUAGGCUCCGCCCUUGACCACCAAUUCAAACGCUCUAUUCCGGUGGAAUAUCUAGACAAGCCAAGCAUAGAGAUGGAGUCGAUAGCCGAAGUGUCACAGGUUAGUGUAACUCCCACUUGGCAAAGUUCAAUUAUAGACUACUUGGUCAACGACACAUUACCCACAGAAAGAUUGGAGUCAAGGAAGCUUCAAAUUAAGUCGGCACGCUACUAUAUGUGGAAUGGCAUUCUCGUCCGAAGAUCCUACACCGGACCACAUCUCCGCUGCCUGGCACCUCCCGAUGACUUGAAGGUUCUAAGCUCAAUCCACGAAGGCGUUUGUGGGAAUCACUCUGGAGGUCGAUCCUUAGCCCAAAAGGCUCUUAACGCAGGCUAUUACUGGCCUACCAUGCACCAAGAUGCUAAGGAGUUAGUACAAAAAAUGCGACCGUUGCCAACGCUACAAACCAGUACCAGCACACUACCCGCCAGUGAGCUACACACCCGCAAACGAGUCCUUGGCCAUUCAUGCAGUGGGCAAUCGACCUGGUAGGGCCUAUGCCGCCUGCUACGGGGGGCAGAUGCAUGAUGAUCGUGGCAACCGACUAUUUCACCAAAUGGGUAGAAGCAGAACCCAUGACAACCACGACUCAGACGGAUAUAGAGAGCGCUUUAUAUGGAGGAACAUCAUUUGCCGAUUUGGCAUCCCUCAGUCCAUCGUCACUGACAACGGUCCUCAAUUUGUGGGAAAAGAUUUGGCAAAGUUCUUCCAAAAAUACGGCAUCAAACAACACAUGUCCACACCAAGAUAUCCUCAAGGCAAUGGGCAGGCUGAAGCAUCCAACAAGACGAUUCUCGACUGCCUCAAGAAAUCCCUCACCGACAAAAAGGGAAAAUGGCCAGAUGAGCUCCCAGGAUGUUUAUGGGCAUAUCGCACCACCAAAAGACGAGCAACCGGUGAAACUCCUUUCUCUUUGGCGUUUGGUUCGGAGGCAAUCAUACCUCCCAACAUCAUCGUGCCAAGCAUCAACACUCUAUUGCUAAACGUUGAGCGGAACAGUAAAGAAAUGGCCACAGAUUUAGAUCUGGCAGAAGAAAGGCGCGAACAAACCAUCACCCGCAUCGCAGCCUACCAGCAGCAGCUCAUUUCCAGCUACAACAAAAGGGCCAAGAUCCGGCAGUUCCAACCUGGAGACCUAGUCCUAAGAAAAGCUUUCAUCACUGCCCGCAGAGAAGGCUCGAAAAAAAUGGACCCCAUCUGGGAAGGUCCUUACAAGAUCAACAGAGUCGGCGGCAAAGGCAGUUAUACUCUUGCUACCAUGAAUGAUAAAGAGAUCGAGAAGCAAUGGAACGCCUACAAUUUGAGGAAAUACCAUGUGUGACUUCACACUAUAUCAAGACCCGAAGACUCGAGCAUCUCAACGGUCACCACCUCGUAAACCGAGGACUAUCCAAUCAUCAUGCAGUUUUUGCAACCAAGUUAUUCGCUCAUUUUAUUUUUCAAUAAAGAAUUCAAAAGUAAUUUGUAAUUUGGCUUUAAUAUAUGUCUACAACAACUUAUUUCUUUCUGCAUUUCAAAAGAAAAUUACACCCCCCAAGGGACCAACUGUGCUCUCCAAGGAGGGAGGAUAAACUCAACACUCCGAAUAUCCAGACGUGGAUGAGCUUGGCUGCCCUAGAAUGACUAGGUGCAUGAUGGCUUGCGCCGGGAUUCCUAGAAGUAGCCACAAUGGUCUGUUUCAAGGCUUAGCUAGUUGAAGGAUUAUGGGUCUAUCGGCUUAAUCCGCAGGGAACCGGGCCCUAGAUACGGAGGGGGCACAUUAUGCAGCACACCCAAUGGGCGGCUGCCCUGGAAACCUAAAGCUGCUACCGAGUGCACUAAGGUAGCCUACGGAUUUCCAGAAGACUGCCUACGGCUUGCCCUUCGAGCAGUAGAACCACGCUAGACUUAUGCAACCGCACAUUAUUGUGAAAGGUUAAACAAGUUAGCGUGCACACACGAAGAUUUUAUCCACUACCGACAUGCUACGUAGUUGAUAAGCUUCACCUCUGUCAAACGCAGAAUAACUUAUACCAAAUCCUAAAGUGUUGUGAUACUUGCUACACGGCCUACGGAAUUGGAAAAAUCCAAGGUUGAAUAACCAAGUGGUUACGCGGAUUCGUCUGCUUCUGUAAGUAAGGCAUCCGGCUGCCAACCCUAUGGUUAAUAACUUUGCAGAAGUUUCUACAUCAACACCUACGGUUGCAUAGGCUAUGUGGGCCUGUCUACUUAUAGAAAAGUAGCACGCCUGCCACUGGCUUAUAUAAGGUCUAAAGGUUAAAAAAAAAAAUGGGAAAAGCAAAAGAAGCGAGUUUAUUAAAUUUUAUAGCAAAAUUGAUAAACAACAAGCAAAUACCAAAAGAGUUCAAGCAAAAGCAACAAAGGAAAGAAAAGGAAACCCUAAAAGCUACCUAGAAGACUACUCUUCGGUAGUUUGGACAUCUCCCAACUGCUCGGUUGUUACACCUUCAGCAGCCUUGGUGUUCUCAGCAGCGGCAUCCUCCGGACCUUUACCCUCGACUGUUCCAGCCUGGGUAUCAACUCCUCCAGCUAUUUCACCGAUAGAAGACUCAAAGGUAAAAUCGAGCAAGUCUUCUGGGGAAAUAGAGAAGGUCUCGAAGUCUUUACCGGAAAACUCAAAGUCAGACGGCCGCCCAUAGAGAUGAUCUACAUAGCCCAGCUUGUAGAAAUCAGAUUGGUUCUGAAUAAGCGAAGCCUCGAAACCAUUUUUCUCACUCUUCAACUGCUCAUUCUCCUCAAACAGGCAAGCACGAACUCGCUGCAACUCCUCAAUUUCUUUCUUAAGAUUGUCGUUGGUCUUCAAAACACCUUGAAGUUCCGACACUUGAGGCUCAAGCCUGUCAGCAACCUCUUUGAAGUGGAUCGCUUGGUUGUAAGUAGCAAUCAAUUCUUCAUCCUUUGCAUAAGCAGCGGAGCGAAGUUCAGAUAUGGAGCGUUCAAGAUCUCGAAUCUGAGGUAUGUAACGCUCGAUUUCCUUCUCUGCACUUUCAUUCUUUGUUUGGACCGCAUCAAACCUAGUCUUCAAAUCCAUGAUCUCCUGGUGAGCGGCCUCAAGCUGCUGAGAAGUGGGGUCAGAAGUAUGAGAUUCCUUCAAAGCAGCAAGCUCAGAUUCCAAUUUUUUGAUUUUUUUCAACCGAGGAAUAAGCUUCGGCAGCCAUAGUUCUUGCCAUCUCUUUAGCAGCCUUGGUGUCCUCUUGGUCAAGGAACAUAGACUCGGCUGCCAGAAUUGUUGUUUUCUGCAUCAUGGCUAGCAGAGCAGUCUUCCUAUACUCGGGUGUAUGCUUUGCAAAAAAGACUCGGACCAACAAUCUCUUUGACGCCAUCAACAAACUGGGCGCAUACAUCCAUGUCUUCAAGAAGAUCUGGUUUCAAAAGAGCACAAAUCUUAGCAGCCUCCUCAGAAACGGCCUUGGCGGAUUCUUCAAGCCUGCCUGAGCGAGCAGCUUCAUUCUUAUCAGCAGACGAGAUGGUUGCAGCAGCGGAAGAAGCAGUAUUCGGCGCCACUUUAGCAGACAGGGGCACCUUAUCACUCUUCAUCAUAGUAGCAAGUCUCUCUUCAAGGGUAAGUCAGGUUUAGUCCCGGACGGACGUUUUGGCACAAACUUCGGUACCAAAGGCACGGAAGAACUUUUACGCUGAGCAAUUUUUUUCAGCAAUCGAGCUAGCAGCCUUCGAAGCAAUAGGCGUUACUGGCACAAAUGUAGCAGUUCGUUCUUUCUCGCCCUUAGAGGAAGUCAGGUCAAUCACAAUCUUGGGAGCAGCCGGAGAAUCCCCACGAGCAGUCUUCAUUUUCUUCUCAGCAGGUAUCUCUUGAGCAGGCGGGGAAUGUUUCUUUUUCCCACCUUCAUUGGUAGUAGGCUCCACCACAGUGAUAGGACGAGCCAUCGCGUCUGCCUUGAUCCGUUUUAUUUCUUCUUCUGGGGGUAGUCCACCUUUUUCCCUACGAAGAGGACUAAGCAGCCAACGCCACUCACGAUACUCGGAAGGAAUACCCAGAGCGACAUGCACUUUUUUCAUAUCUGGAGAAACCCUAGGAGUUGAGCCAAAUUCCGAAUCUACAAAAAAAAAAGAAAAAAAAAACAGAAGACAAUCAGAAAAUUGAAGAAUGAUUUGGCACUAAAGCAAAGCAGCCGAAAAAGACUAAGCAGUCUGCUUACCAGAUAUGAAGACCGUUGAUACACGCAGCUCGGGAGAAGAAUCAGAUUCCCAUUCUCCACUUAUCUCCAAAGUCUCUUUGGCCCAAUCAUGAUCUCCUUUACUCGAAUUAUCAAAAAGCUUAUGACGGAUUCGCAGUUGUCCAACUCCAUCAAUACGACCUAUGUCAAAGAAAUACCAAAAUUCGUUGGUGGUUAGUCCCAAGUCAAAGAAUUGGUUCAAAUUGUGGAACCCCACCAUCACUCGGACCGCAUUCGGGGAACAUUGGGCAGGCGCACAUUUCAUAGAGCAAAGCACUUCUUGGAAGAAAACGCGGUAUAGGGAAAGUAAACCCUAACACAAAAUAGUAAGGAUGGAACUUGAUAGUUCUCCGAGUUCCACUGCAUGGUUCUCGGCUGCUACCAUCUUUAACUCGUCUCACACGCACUCCCGACGGAAUGGCAUGCCAAUACGUUUCAAGAAAAUCUCUAAACAAAUUGUCGGAGCUAAUCUUGAUGUGAGCAGCUUUGAAGUAGCCAAUCUUGCUCAAAGACCCGCCUUGACGGUACAGCGGGGGCACACCAUCAUCAUUCUUACGGCUCGAGGAAGACAUGCUUGAAAAUUCUACAAAAGUACAAGGAAGAUUUGUUAGAGAGUUGUUAAAAAAAAAAAAAAAAAAGAAAAGAAACAGCUCUCGGCAGCAAAAAAAAAAAAAAAAAAAAAAAAAAAAAAGAAACAGCUCUCGGCAGCAAAAAAAAAAAAAAAAAAAAAAAAAAAAAAAAAAAAAAACAAGAAUUAGGCUUAAAGCCGCAGGACCAGCAAACCUGCCAGGCCCCACGGCCUGGCUUGCUUCAACGCCCAGCAAGAAAAAAAUAUAUAUAUUUUCAUGGCAUUACCAUGCCAUGGUUCACCAGAUCAACCUAUAACAAGUCUCUGAUUCCCAUCAGGCCAAGAAUCAAGAUCCAAAGAUUCCAGAAAAUCAAGAAGACAAGAAAAAUAAUUUUUUCUUACUUGGAAGCAACGAAGAGCGAUCCUUUACACGGGCAAGACGUAGAAGAUUGCUAGAGGAGGGGGAACAAAUAUCCUCUAAGCUCUCUUUUUCUCUUGUAAGGAUGAAUAAGUUUCACUCUAAAAGUUGAUUUAACAAUCCACUUAAGGUGGACUUAAAUAAGCUUUGGGGAAAUUUAUUUCCUUUUCCUAGAAGGAUUUAAUUUCCUAUUGAAAGAAAGAAUCAACAACAAAAUAGGAAACAGUUCAGAAUUUCCUAAAGCAAGAAAAUCUCUACACCUAUUGCCCUUUUCUGCAAACAGCUCAACAGGUGUGGGGGCAUUUGUGGAGCCAAAAAUAUUCACUAGGCGACACGUGGAUUUGUGAACGAAAGAGGACAAAAAUACCCUUGAGGUAUAUCGGGAUUCCUACGCGCAAGUAGUGGGUAAUCAUCCUCAACCAAUUCAAAAAUGCUCCAGAAGAGGUAACUAAUUCCAAAUUAUCUUAUUUUAGGUAAUUAUUUCCAAAACUUAAUUUCCCUAAUAUAUUAUUUAGUUAAUUAAUUAUCUAAAUAAUAUAUUCUUCCCAUAUCUCCUAAAAUCAUCCCUUAAUUACCAAUUUGAAACAUCCACUCAAACCUAAAAAAAUGGGAUAGGGCCGGCUACCCCAUUCAAAGUCUAUUCCAUCACCUUUUUUUCUACCUUUUCCACCUUUCCUUCCCUUUUAAAUUAGCCAAUCAAUACCAUAAAUAAUAAAAUAUCUCCUUUCAUAUUUAAUUAGCCAAUUAAUUGGCUAAUUAAACCUAAAAUUAAACCUAAAAAUCCCAUAGUAACCGGCCACAUUCCCUCCCAUCUUUUCCCUACCUUUUUUUUUUAUUUUCCUCCACUUUAUUACUCAAAUAAAGCUAAUCAUUUAAGACCCCAUUCAUUUCUAUUUUAUUAGCCAAUAAAGGGGCUAAUAAAAAACCACAAAUUGACUAAGAAAAGGGAAGGGUGUGGCCGGCCCUUCCUUGGUGAAAAAUGGGGAAGCCUAAUCCUAUAAAUAGGCUCCUAUUCUCACCAAAAAUUCAUUCCAAACCUCUUGCAAAAAUUCCAAAACACUCUAAACACUAUUUCUCUCUAAAUUUCUAACUUUGGCAUCGGAGGUUCUUCGGCCAAAGCCCCCCCCCAUUCAUCGUGGGCGCGUGAGGCUUUUGGCCUUAACCUAAGGUGCUAGUUGUUUUGUAGGUGCAAAAUCGUCCAAGAUCGAAGAGGAGAAAAUUUGCAUCCACAACAACGAGCAGGAGCAGCAGGGCGACGAUGAGAUAUCCCGGUCGACGGCGAGAUCGGGUGGUGACGAAAGACCUCCAUGAGGAGCAGAGGGAUUAGAGAGAGAGAUAUGCAGUGGUGAUGGGGAAAGGGCGGCGUUGAUCUGGGAAAAGAGAAGGAAGGGGAGGUGAAGAGAGUGAAGAAGAGGGAGAAAUGGGUCGGGGAUUUAUGGGUUUCUGUUUUUCUGUUUUUUGUUUUUCAAAUAGAAUUGGGGGUUUCAGGAAGGUGAGGGGUGGGGUGGGGGAUUGUAGUGGAGGUGGAGGUGGAGGUGGGCGUGGGUAGGUUAGGGGGCUGCAGGGAUGGAUGGGUUUCAAGGUUUUUUUUUAUUUUUUUUAUAAUAAUUUAGAAGAUUCAGAUUUUUUUUAAAUUAAAAAAAAAAAUUUACCACGUGGCACACAUUUGGCAGCCACGUGGCACAAAUGUGGCAGCUACGUCAGCACUUAACGGAUCAAUGGACGGAAAAUCUAACGGAUGUAUUAUUUUGAAAUAAAAUGGUACAUGAUGUAUGAAAAUGAAAUGUUUUAAAGACGUUGUAUGGGAUUGUAAUAGAUCUCAAACCUGAGAGGCUACUAUGUAAUUUACCCUAAUUUUUAUUACGUGUGAAAAAUUUAUACUAAUUUUUCGGCGCAUGCUGAACCGUUAAAUCUAUUAGCGUAUGAUUAUGUAAUUUGGAAAAUUUGGAUUUUUAGUUUACUAGUGUGAUUCAAGACAGAUUUUAUAACUUCAAUAUUUAGUAAGUGAUUUGAGUGAGCUGUAUUUGCUAGUUUUUAGCUUAUAACUAAUACAACUUUCAAAUCUUGGAAGACAUCUUCUUUAUUUAGAGAUUGCCCAAGAGCAAGGAGCAUUUGAGAAUCGAUGGGAAUGACUACACUACACAGGUACAACUCUCCUUUAAUCUUGGCGUCACAGCUUUACUGAUGGCUAUUUCGAAAUCCAAGUUACUGUAUUUUGAACAAAUUCGGUGGAGUAGUGUUUUUGUUUUUACCUUCGAAUGUAUGGAAAUAGAAGAAUAAACAACUCUUUGAAGACAACUUCUUUUCGACAAAGGUGUUCAGUUACCAUUUUCGUUCACUGCUUAAUUUGUUAUACUAUGCUUCGUCCCCAAAAUUCGUCAUCUGAAGUAAUCUCAAGUUUUCAACUUCAUGAUUGGAUUUGAUGGUGGGGCGUUGAGAUGCAGUGAAUAUGUGACAUUAAAGUUGGGGAUGCAAGCCAUACGGUUGGUCAGAUACAGAUAUGCUAAUAGUAUUAGCAACCAAAUUUUUGCUGCAACAGUUCCAUUUUUUCAGAUGGAAAGUCUGACUAGCGUAUUUAUAAUUUGAUCUUUUGUAGGGUGGUGGUUCCGGCACCCAACAAAUUGUGAUCGAAGGCUCCUUAUGUGAUGAUUAUUACAAGAUUCGGGAAUAUCUCUACUCACUAUUUUAUUUGCUUUAAGUAGAGAUACAUAAUAUCUAACGCCUUUGGGUGAACCAUCAUUUGAUGCGGUGUUAAUUUCCAGUGAUUUUAGGGUACACAGUAAAGUUUAAUUUAAAUAUAAGACUUAUUUUCCGUUGAAGUUGUCAUUUUGUUCAUGCAAGAUGGAAAUCUUUUUCAGGAAUCAGGAAACAAAGCAUGUUUGAAGGGUUAGACACCCAAUUGUCAUGUUGUCCUCUUAUACCAAGUCCCACACGGGUUAAAUUCAAAUAGCACCAAGACAUUAAUGCGGAUGAAGCUUUUAACGGAAAAGAUUUUUUUUUUUUUUAAAUGAGGAUUAGUUGUGGGGCCCAUAUCAUAUCAAAGUUUAACGAUCCGAAUAGUUUAUUUUUCAAGUUACACCUCUUAGAUCAUCUUUGCAAAAUAUUAGUUAAAUCGAAAAUAUUUUGAUAUCUAAUUGAGUUCAAAUAAAUUGACGAACCCUUUUGUCUAUAAGAAACAAUGAAAUUUCAAUGAGAUAAUUAAAUAGGCAAGUGGUUUCGGAUUGAAUUGAAUUUUGCAAGGAUGAUGUAUGAAUCGAGACUUACAAAAUAGACGGCACGAAUCGUUAAAUUUCAAUGUAGAGUGGAUCCCACAACUAAUCCUUAUUUCUUAAAAAAAAAAACGAUGAUACAUCCCUUAAAUGGCAUGUACCUACGAAAACAAAACAUAACAAACAAAUUACAGUUAGACAUUUCAACUUUUUCACAUGACAAUAUGCAGUUGAGUUUGGAUAAUGCCGCAAAACUGGCAAGUAAAUUACACAAUGCCAUGCAUUUUAGCUUCUUAACGAAGGGUAAUGUUAGAGAGACUAAAUUGGAAAACAAAAUUUGCAAACUAAGGGGGGUGUAGUCAUAAUAGGAUUUGAUAGGAUUUUAAUAGACUUUAAAAUCAAGGUGUAGUCAAUUACAAUUUUAAAAGAUUUAGAAAUCAUGGUGUAGUCAAAGUAAGAUUUAAGAGGAUUUUAAAGAAUACAUCCAUAUCCAAUGGUAGUCAAUUAAGAUUUUAAAGAAUACAUAUAAAUCCAGAGUUAGUGAGAAUGCAAAAAAUUUGAUAGGAUUUGAAUGGGAGGGGAUUUUGAUGGAUUUAAAGGUGGAUCGUAUAUAUACCAAAUGCUAUCAAGAAUCCUACCAUCCCCCAUCUGAUUUCUUUUCACGUCGGCAAACAGAAAAGAACCUCCCAACCCCUUCAUCUUCAUCUAUACCUUCCUCUUCGGAACACAUCUCAUCGUCCUCUUCGACUUCGAAUUCAUCGUCUUCAUUCUCAUCUAUCAUGGAUUUUUUUUUUUCUUUCAAAUUCUACUUGUAAACAACUAUUGGGUUCUGGCAAGUUCUCUAUUUUCUCAGAAAAGGAAUAGUAUUCCUCCAUUUUUUGCCCUACCUGAGAUCCGAUGGUUCAAUAUUUUUUUAACAUAUCGCUGGAAUCAGUUUUUUUCUCCCAUGUUCUCCUCGCACGAAACCGAUUUUCAAUGGAAAAUUGCCUCAAAUCGCCAAAAUUAUCUCCAUUACCCCAAACCCACAUAACUUGCAGAAGCUCAAUGAGUUCGGCGCUGGGGAAGUGGAGCUUGCCGAAAAUUAAUGAAAUGUGGUUUCUAAUGUUAUGCUUGGUAGGUACUUGAAGGGCAGGAAGCUAGAGUGUGCAUUGAAGUUUUGGAAAAUGAUGAGCAUGGGAUUGAAAAUGAAUGGAACUACCAUGGUGAAUAUUUUUGCUACUUGCAGCUUGUGGUCAGUCUGGUAGACUGAGAAGGAAGGUUAGACACACUACUACAAAAGAGGCUAUCACUGGCGAAGCAAAAACCGACAAGAACUUCAAUUUCUGUUAGAAAUUUGGUAAAAAUCCGACAUAAAACCAUGCAAUGUUGGAUUGGAAUAGCGACAUCAUUGCUAGCAUCACGAAAGGGCUUCAAUGUCAGCUUGUCAGCUUAAUCCGCCAUGAAGCAGCGUCGGUUAAAAGUGAUAUCGAACUUUACGUCGGUUAAAAACGACGUGCUAUUCUAACAUGAUGGCGGUCAUAGUCAACAUCAAGUAGCAAUUAAACUAUAAAAUAUCCAACCCACUGUCAGUUUUAACCAACAUCAGCUAACAAUUAAAUAAAUAAAAUAUGCAAACUUAUUUGCUUUCGUUUUCAAUUAAUAAAUAUAUAAAAAGAUCUGACUUUGCUUUCGUUUUCAAUUAAUAGUAAUUAAAAAAAUUAUAUAAAAAUAAUAAUAAAUUUCAUUUAUGGGCCAAAACAAAUUCUUGCCUCUUCCGUUUUCAAUGAACCAUACUAAUGGUCUUAACAUGCUUCUUCCGCCUUAUUUAUAUGUCAAUGAAAACAAUUUUAAGCAAACUUCAUAUUAAAAAUAAAAUUUCUAAGAACUAUAUAUUAAAUUGAAAAUUAAUAACAUUUCUUAAAAAUGUACAACACAUACAAAUUCUUGCCGCACUUUAUUCCAGUAUGCCACCAACUCAACCCAUUGUGCAGCAUUCACAUCAGGAGGAGGGUGGCUGCACACCACGGCUGCUCUCUUAGUAUAAUACGGUUUUUAAAACUUAUUUCUAUACUCUUUGUGCGUAUGCUCUGCAACCUAAAGAUCAUGUAGCGGAUCAUAGGCAUUUUUGCUAUAUCUUCAUCUUCAAAAAAAAUAUUCCCUACAUCCAUAAAAAAAUCAAGCUAAUUAAUAAUUAUUAUAAUCAUUGACUUAUUCUUCUAUUUUCAAAUUUAAAAAAAAAAUAUAUAUAUAUAUAUAUAUGCCUUUAUCCUAUUCCAGAAAACUUCCUUAUCUUGUUCCUUAAUCUUACGUCAAUCACUCAUCAACGGGAGAUUUUUGUAAUCUCUAACCUCCCACUACAUAUUUUGAAAAGGCACUAGAAAUAUCACUAAUGCAUUUUCUAGACGAAUCAAACGAACAAAGUUGUUUUGUCCAUUUGGGAAUUGAGGGUCCGCGCCUCUGUUGAGAUGUUCCUUAUUCAUACAAAAAAAAAACAAUUAAAAGCCAAUAAACAAAAGUAAAUUUUCAAUUUAAGCAUAAUACUAGUUUAAACACAAAACAAAAACUGAAAUUAAUAAUAAUUCAAAAAUGAACUAGCUUCGAACUCUUCCUCUUCGAAAUGGAGUUCCUCAUAAUGUUGAUCUUCACUUUGUUGAUCUAUAGCAAAAGUUAGUGGAAGGAGAAUGAGUAAGGCUGAAAUGGAGGAAAGAGAGGGAGUAAGGACGCACGAGCGCAAAACUAAAGAAGUAAACGAGAUAAAGCGAAAUGAAAGCACGGAAGUAAUAGGGAAGAAAUGGGUUUAAAUAUGGAUAAUAAGUUGGCGUCGGUUAAGACCGAUAGUGGUUGUAAAUGACGUCGAAAUAUGUACACUUUGCGUCGGUAAAAACCAACAUCUACUCUGACACACUAACUAAAAUGCACGUGGCGUCGAAAUAUUUGGACUUCACGUCGAUUAAAACCAACACUAAGUCUAACACGACUUAAAUGCACGUAGUCUGACACACUUGACUGAAAGGCAACUGGCGUCGAAAUAGGAAAAAAUUGUGUCGGUUAAAACCGACGUGAGCCUGACAGACUUGACAAUGAUUGCAAGUGGCGUUGAAAUAAGAAAAUUUUACGUCGGUUCAAACCGACGUGAGCCUGACAGACAUGACAGUGAUUGCAAGUUGCAUGGAAAUAAAAAAAGUUGCAUCGGUCAAAACCGACGUGAGCCUGACAAACUUGAUUGUGAUUGCAAGUGGCGUCGAAACAAACGUGAAAAUUCCCGCCCAAAAUAUUUCAAUUUAACACGGGGGAGAGUAUAUAAAGGUCAUCAAUCUAUCACUUAUAACUGACACUGGAUUUCAAAAUAUUUAAAAAACUUAAAAUAUAUGUUGGUCAGAACCGACGCAGGCUUUAAAAUAUUUAAAAACAAUCACUAGUGUCGGCUAGAAGCGACACCUACUCCAACACCAACUUUAUGUCGCUUAAAAUUGACACAGUUUUUUUUAAUGCAACACCAGUAUUUAAAAAUUAUUAAAAUCUAUGUCAGUUAUAAGCGACAUUAACGAGCUAGGGUGUGAGCCAUAUCUUAGCUAUAGAAAUAAAUUCUACAACCAAGAUAUGGUGAAAAAUUAAAUUAAAUUAUAAAGACUACACAUACAUUAGAUAACAAAAUCUUACAAAAAAAUUAUCAAAUAUGCAGAGGAAUAACUAUAGUGCACAAAUUAAUUCACAACAAAAUAAUAAUUAAAUUGUAACAAUUCUUUCAAAUGCAUGAAAUAUAUGCAAAUGGAAUGGAUGAAUGUACUUACUCCCUUCUAAUCCCGUCAACACAUACCUAAAGCACCCAAGCAUGCACGUCUCAUACCAUGCUUAUACCAUUUGGCUCCGAAUACCUUAUAAUAUGAGUUAACUCCCGUUCAUCCCUUAACCCAAUUUUUGUAAUUAAACUCUCAGUUUCCACUUUAUUAAACAUGCAUUCCCCCUGACGCCUGACAUAUACAAGAUUUCAUUAUUUUAUAAUAAAUCAAUUUGUAUACUCAAGCCCUGCACCCUACGCCUGACAUAUACAAGGUUCAUUAUUUUAUAUUCAAGGCAAACUUCAGCCCUUGAAUAGCCUCACAACGCAAACACUUUACAAACUCAACACAACUCUUUUUCUUGUUUUGCAAUGCAUAUGUAUAUGCCAUGUUCACAGAGAUAUCAAUACUCACAUUUUCUUUAACAAGCCUGUAAGUUUCAACAUAAAUCAAAUUGAUUAGUAACAAGAGUAAUAUAAUCAUAAUAUUAACAAAAUAAUAAUCUUUGAUGUAAAUGAUAAGCAAUAUAUUACCAUUUCUUCAUUUUGUCGAUCCUCCUUUUCCAUUAUGUUUCUAUUUAAUAACUCAGUGUUUAAAUGGUUUGCUCAACUCAAAUUUAUUGCAAUUAGACAAAGGAACACGGAGAUUUAAGUGGCUCACCAAUUUGGCUACGUCCACUAGGGUUGCAUAUGCAUUUAUGUUUUCACUAUGUAAGAGAGAUUUACAAAAAAAAAAAAACAAUGAAGAUGGCCUAGAGCCUUUACAUAAGGUAAAAGAAAAGGAUGGUGGGAAGAGUGGUAUAUGAAGAAGAUGAGGUUUUGUUUCUUUUUCCCCGUGUGUUGUUGAUGAUGUUGUGUGUUGUUCUUCUCCCCGUUUCUCUCCUCCCUUUGCUUUUAUGGAUGAAGAAAUGGAAUCCUCCAUUAAGCCUUAAUGACAUGUUUCACUUUGUUUUGCAAUACUUGGACAUCUUGUAAUUGGAAGCAAUCAUUCCCAUGCAUGUGGACAAAUACUCAAAAACCACGUUCAAAGUCUAAGGAUUAUGAAUCCCACAUCUCCAAUUUUGGAGGGGAUGAAUCAUCACCAAAGAUUUAACUCUUACAUUCCUAAUUAUUACAAACUUGCCAACUCACUCUCAUGUAAACUUCCACCUCUUCACCCUAAUCAUUAACUUCUAUUAAUUAUCACCUCCACCUCAUCCUUGGGAGAAAAAUGAAUCAAGCAAAAACUACUCAAAUAAUCCCACCUUAAGCUCGGCUAUAGCAAUGAUAAUUGCCAUUAGCAAGUAAAAACAACUUUUAAGGCCUACCAAAAACAAUCUAAUACAUGUAUAAGUUACCUACAAAAUUACAAAACUACAAUGAGGAUGGCAAACACUAGAAACCUCUCUAGUUAGAGAAAUUUGAGUUUAAAAGUACAAGCUAGGCUUAGAUAUAUUCUUGUAGUGAAGGAAUCCCUACUAACUUACAUGUCGAAAAUACAAGUUCUUGUACCUAUAAUAUAUAAAAUGAAAUUAAAAAAAAUCAUUACAUUUGAAAUAGAUAUAAGUACUUGCACACACAUUUAUAUAACCAUUUAUUUAUUUUUAAAUACGGGGUAUUACAAGACCCAUAAGUGAACACACAUUGGAACAUUGGAGUUGUUUGAGUCACAACAACUGCAUGAUUUCAUUAAAAAUGAUCUGACAGCUCUGCGUGUGAUUUUCAAUUUUUUCAAAAUCCUAAUAUGUCACAGCCCGUUCCGAGAUUAUAUAAAUAUUGGGGACUUGAAAUGACAGAAUUACCCUUAGAGGGUAUUAAGGUAUGUAUGUGUGUAUGUUGGACAUAUUUCCUUCAUUCCUAAACUUUUGGAAACAAAUUAUUAAGUGGGAUUUAAAAUGUUGGAUUGUUUGUGUGGUUAGGGAACUAGGAAGAGAAAUGAAUGGUCAUGAUUUGUGAGGGAACACGCACACAUUUCCUUCUCUCUCACUCACCCUGUGUCUCUCUCUCUCUCUCUCUCUCCUCCUUUACGGAUCUCUCUCACUCUCUUUCUCUCGAAUUGUACGGCCACACCCAAGGACUCUCUAAACAUCACGGAUUGAAGCUAACAAGGUAUGGUUCUUCAUCAUUUUGACGUUCUGAGUUGAAUGGUACUAGUUUUAGGAAGUGAAACCCUCAAAAUCAUCGUGAAACCCUAACCCCAAAAUUGUGCACUGUUCAUGCACACGUAAAAUCUUGCAUUUCAGGAAAUUCUAAUCUUAUAGUAAGCUUAGUGAGGUCCCAAGGAAUUUCGGAGUGCUUCGUUUGAAGGUUUUGGACGUCAGGAUCGUCGGGUUCGAAGUUGGCCGAAUUGGAGGAUUUUCCCGACGAAAUUUCAGAGGUUUUUAAAGGUAUAGAUCCCUUCCCCUCUUAAUUUAGAGCUCGUAGGUGAAAAUUUCAUGAAAAAUGGUGAAGAAACGAGUGAGAAAGGUCGAGUUGCAGGUUUCCGGCGCCGGCGACACUGUGCUGGCGACGCGAGGAAGAAGAAGCGCGCGUGGGGGCGCGUAGGUCCGUGCCACCCACGGCGCGUGGGGCUGCGUGGAAAACCCAAAAAUUUUUCUAAAAAUUUGUCGACGUCUAUGACGUCGAGUAGGUCGAUGUGGUAUAUUCACAUACCCAAAUUGAGCACCGUAUGAGAAGUUAUUUCGAAUUGUUGAUUAUGUGUUUUAAUUAACGUUUCUAUAGUUGUUUUGCAUAUAGGUGACACCUAUCCCGAGGACGAGCGCAUCCAAGGACGUCACGGGGGUUACGACCAAUCGACUUACCAGUGAGUGGGCAGUUUUUGUUUUCGUAUUACCUAUAUACUAUUGAUUUUUUUCCCAUAAAAUGAAUUUAUAUGAAAAUACGUUUUAAAAUGCCAUGCAUGCAUAUUAUGAGAUAUUUGAAUUGAUAAUUGAUGCAUAUAUAUAUAUAUAUAUGAAUUGAUGUUGUGGACGCACAGGUGAGUGUUACAUUAUUCAUACGAUUUAUUUUAUGUGAAUUGCAUUGAAAGCUCAUAACUUGCACCCUUGGUGUUAGUGCUUAUAUUAUUCACUGCACCGCACGCUCGCCUUGGAUCCAAGUAGGUGAAUGUCAUACAUACCAUGUGAGGGUUCCGACAUGCUAGUCGUAUAGAUCGCUAGAGGUGAUUCCGACUAGUGGGUAACCUUAGUUUAUGCGUGCCGAUGAUUGAUGAGAGAAGCACUAGAGCAUAUUCUUACACCUUUCCAUCGUACAGACUACCUUACGUAGUUCCGAGUGACGUGCAGAGUAGGGCCGUAUAGGUCACUGUGGUGACUCCGGCUAGGGGGAAUACUGAGCUAUAGAAUUAGCCGUACAAGACCAUUGUAGGGUCUCCGGUUAUUUCAUUAUAUCACCUGUCAUAUUGAUGCAUCCAUAUUUUUAAUCAUUGACAUUAUUGCUUGGCAUAAUUACUGGAUUUUGAUAAACUUGAUGCUUUGAGCAAUUUGAGUAAAUAUUAUGCUACUAUGUUAUUUUUUGGGAAAGUAUACAGGUUUUACAGAGAGGGGUUAGAAAUGUUUUAAAUGAAAUGUUUUGGAAAAUCUUUGGUUUUACUGACCCACUCAACUUUGUUUUGCGCCCCUCCAGGUUCUAGUUAGCAGUUGGUGGCUCACGAGGUCCUUUUCGGCGUUCUGAUAGACGUCCUGCAUGUAGGACUCACCUGCGGGUGUUGUACUUUUAAUUAUAGUCCUACUUGACUGCACCUAGUAUCUACGCUCUGAAAUUGUGUGUUUUACUUUGUAACCUCACUCUAGUAUGCUAGUUGGUUAUUACUGCUAGUGGUUGGUUUAAAUUCCUUCAUAUUUCUCAUAUCUUUUGUUUCCGUGUCGCACUUUUGGCUACGUCACGCUCACGUGACGGCCAGCACGUCUUGAUUCUAGGAUUGGGGUGUGUCAUAAUAAAUCUAUGGAAGAAAUCUAUACAAAUCCACAAAAAUCAUAAUGAAAAUCCAUAUAAAUCUUCUAAAAUCCAUAGAGAAUUAUAAAGUCUAUUAAAAUCCUUUGAAAUCUAUCACUAAAAAAAAUUCAUUAAAAUUCUCUGAAAUCCAAAUUGACUACACCCCUAAAUGAUGUGUCACAAAUAUAAAUGAGUACGUUUAUCAACGCUUAAAUAAUAAACUAAUUAACAACUUCUAUGUUUUUGUUUUCAAAAUUUUAUUUGAUAAAUUUAAUUUCUAUAGCGUUACUCUUUAACAAAACAAUAUGUGAUUGCCCGGCCCAUGACUAGAUUUCGAAGUCAAUGUCAACGUUCGUCAGCAAUUACAUCACUCCAAAAUUUCUGAAAAAUCGAAGUAUGAGUUUUCUUGCUCCACGAGGACAGAAAGGGAUCCUUCCAUCUGAGCCAACCAGGCAUAAAAUCUAAAUCUUUAAAAUUUAAUCUUACGAUUAAAAUUAUUAUAAUUUUUAAUAUUUUUUUUUAUUUUUAAUCGUUAUAUCAAAUUUUAAGUGUUUAUAUUUUUUGCUUAGUUAGAAGGAAUCUGAAGAUUAUCCUUUCCCACCCUACAUUAUCCAACUCUCUAUAAAAUAUAGAAAAUAAUAAUUUAUUAAGCAAAGGCAUUUGCCCAUCGUCUGAUUGCUGACGAUUCACUAUGGAAACCUGGUUCCUUAUCCUCACCGCCCUCUGCGUCUCCUUCCUCCUCAAAGCCCUUCUUUCUCUAUUCCUACCCACUUCCAUCUCCAAACCCAAGCCCCCUCCUGGGCCCCGCUACAUCCCCAUCAUCAGCACCUUGUUAUUCCUCCUCAAAUCCUUCUCGGAGCUCGAGCCUAUCAUCCGCAAACUACAGGCCAAACACGGGCCCAUCAUCUCCCUCCGCUUCGGCUCCCGCUCCGCCGUCUUCAUCGGCGACCGCUCCCUCGCCCACCAAGCCUUAAUCCAGAACGGUGCCGUGUUCGCCGACCGCCCCCGGGCCUUGGCCACCAACGAGUACGUCAGCAGCAACCAGCACAACAUCAGCUCCGCCCGAUACGGCCCCACUUGGCGCCUCCUCCGCCGCAACCUCACUUCCGAAAUCCUCCACCCUUCCCGCGUCAAAUCAUACGGCAACGCCCGCAAAUGGGUUCUCGACAUCCUAGUCAACCGCCUCAAAACCGAGUCUCAAUCCCAGUCCGAAUGCGGCGGCGGCGGUGGUGUCAGGGUGGUCGACCACUUCCAAUACGCCAUGUUCUGCCUCCUGGUUCUGAUGUGCUUCGGUGACAAAUUGAACGAAGAGCAAAUCAAAGAAAUCGAGCGCGUUCAGCGCCAACAACUUUUGAGUUUCGGGCGGUUCAACAUCCUCAAUUUCAAGCCGAAAUUGACCAAGAUUCUCUUAAAAAAUCGGUGGCGGCAAUUCUUCAAAAUCCUCGAGGAACAACGAGAAGUGCUCGUCCCUCUGAUUCGAGCACGACAAAACAGGGCAAAACAGGGCAGCAAAAACGAUGACAAAGACGAUGAAUUUGUGUUGUCGUACACUGAUACGCUGCUGGACCUCGAGCUUCCCGACGGCAACGAAAAGCGGAAGCUUUCGGAGGGAGAAAUGGUCAGCCUCUGCUCAGAGUUUCUGAACGCCGGCACCGACACGACUUCCACCGCACUGCAGUGGAUCAUGGCCAACGUAGUCAAGUACCCACAAGUUCAGGAGAAGCUGUUUGCGGAGAUUAAAGGGGUUAUGGGGGAAACGGAGGAGGAGGUGCGGGAGGAGGUCCUGCAUAAGCUGCUGUAUCUGAAAGCCGUGAUCUUGGAGGGGCUGAGGCGCCACCCGCCGGGGCACUUUGUGCUGCCGCACGCGGUGACCCAUGACGUGGUUUUGGGCGGACACCUGGUGCCCAAGACGGGGAGUGUUAAUUUCAUGGUGGCGGAUAUAGGGUGGGACCCGCAAGUGUGGGAGGACCCCAUGGCGUUCAAGCCGGAGAGGUUCUUGGGCAGCGGCGGAGAAGAAGAAGGGUUCGAUUUGAUGGGGAGUAGGGAGAUUAAGAUGAUGCCGUUUGGGGCAGGGAGGAGGUCCUGUCCUGGGUCUGGAUUGGCGGUGCUUCACCUGGAGUACUUUGUGGCGAAUUUGGUGUGGAAAUUCGAGUGGAGAGCUAUGGACGGAGAUGACGUGGACCUGUCUGAGAAGCAGGAGUUUACUAUGGUGAUGAAGAAUCCAUUGCAAGCCAACUUAAUCCCAAGAAGUUGAUGUGUGCGAGAAUUCUGUUUUAAUUCUUCGACGCAUGUUUAGCUGUUAAACUCGUAUGAUCUUCAUUGAUUAUCUAAUCUCGAAUAUUUGGGUUUUUAGUUUGCUUAUGUGAUCCAACGCAGAUUUUAUAAUUGAAUAUAAACAUAUCCUGAUAAAAAUUAAUUAUACGAUUUACGAUGAACGGAUGUGAUUUAAAGAUUUCCGAAAUGAUCUUGCGAGAAUCCUCCCUUCUGUAUUUGGUGAGUGACUUGGGUGAGCUGUCAUUGCUCCUUGCUAGUCACUUCUCAAAUCUCUUCCUCUUCUUUUACUGUUUAUUUAGAGACCGCCCAACAGCAAAGAGUAUUUGAGAAUUGAUGAGAAGCCUACAUAGGUACAAGUCUCAUUUAAUCUUGGUGUUACAGCUUAGCUGAUGGUUAAUUUGAAAUCCAAGUUAAUUGCGGGUCUGAAUAAAUUGGAUGGAGUAGUGUUUUUGUUUUCAACUGUUCAUAUAUAUGGAAAUGGAGGAAUAAGCAACUCUUUGAAGCCAACUUCGCGAGCGCAAGGCUGCGGAGGAAUGGUAUGACGCCUCUCAUUGUGUGUGCUCUAAUGUUCUUAAGAUGCAAGUGUCUUUGGCUUGGGAUCCACCCACUCCACUGCAGGGAGGGUGAGGCUUAAUGUUUACGGUUUUCGGAUCGAUGCUCCUAGAAAUAUAGAUAGAUGAGGAGUUUUUUGAGAUAACAUCGGUGAUUGCCUUGGAAGGUUUUUGUCAACUUGGGCAAGGGGCAAGCGAUCGAUGCUGAUGUUUGGGGGCUAAAUUUUGGACUAAAACUUCCAGUUGACAAUAGUAUAUAAAGAUUGUGCGGAGAUGAAUUCCGCUUUAGUGGUUAAUUACAACUGAUACCAAUUUCAUUCCCUUGGAAACAUCAGUGCAGACAACUUAUGACACGUAUAACUGAAUGUGAGUUAGUGCAUGUCUACCAAUAGAAGAACAUGAUGACAAAUAAAAUUGUCAACUGGAGCUAUGUUAUGGAUCUUGAGUACCAUAACAUAGCUUCAGUUGACAAUUUUAUUUACUUUUGUAUUUACUUUUGGCUUCACUCGAUUGAAUUCAAUCAAUGGAUUACAAUUCGAAAAUAGAAGGUUAGGCAAAGCAACGAGUGGAGAAGAACCCGUUAAUUUAUCAGAUGUUCAUAAUGAGGUUGAAGGGAUUUUUAAUGAUAUUUCAGUAUUGUAAUAUUUUCGAUAUUUUAACUGUGAAAUUUUUAGUUAAAAAUAUAAAAAUAAAAAUUUAAAGAUUAAAAAGCUAGUAUCUUAUACUCUAUAACACAUUAGUUUGUCGAAAAAAGUAGUAGAAAGAUGAGAUAUAAUUUGCAACAACAUCGAAUUAUUUUGCGUAUUAAUUAACGAAAAUGUUGCAAAACCUUUAGAUGUGAUUUUACUGUUUAUUAGGUCUCGGACAAUUGUAAUGCCUUCAUCAUCCCAUUUGAAACUCAUAGGUAUUGAUAACCCACGGAAUAACUCAUUGGACACGACAAAUGUCGAACUGUUGUCAGCUCUUUGAACAGAGAUUUGUAUAUACCAUUAUGCUUCAUCAUAUUAACAUUUCACCAGCUGCCUCAGGUUGGUGGUGAUAUAAGGAUGGAAAACUUGAUGAAGGCGCUGCUAGUUUGAUACUCGACAUGAGGCCUUCAAAAGUCGUAUCGACUGAAUUGGUCGUAAGUAGAAGUCUGCUAAAUUAGUUUAUAGUUUUAUCAAUCUUGACGUCAACUGAGACUAUGUUCCAUCUCUAAUUCAGGUUCAUGAAGUGUGCAUUGUUCGGGCACUCAACAAAUUGUGAUCGAAGGCCCCUUGUGUGAGGAUUAUUACAAGAUUCGGGAGUAUAUAUCUCAACUCCGUUCGAGUGAAAUUUCGAUAAAAUCAAGGGAGAGACUGAGAGCAUGCGAGCAAAAAUGGAGGGAUAUGAAGAAGUUUAGGUAUGUUGAAUGGUUUAUGGAUUUGCAGAGAUAGAGAAAUGAGAGAUGGAGGAACUUGGUGGGUUUCAGUUUGGAAUCGAAGAAGGGAGAAGGCUCUAGAAGGUUUCAAAAUGACGAAGCGAGAGGGCCGAAGGGAAAUUGCCAAGUUUGUUUGAAAUAGGCUCUAGAAGUUUUCAUUGUAUUAUAGGAAUGAGCCCAUUCAUUCAUCCAAAUUGGUGGGUUUCUAAUCCCCCAGCAAUGCCCAACCAUUGUAUAAUAGAAAAGGGUCGGUCUCGGGCCCCGUGGGUCUGAAGAUUUGGAAUUGCCCCAUCCUGGAUAUAUCACCUUCCCGUCCCGCCCCGUUCCGCCCCGCCUCAUUUACUCUCUAAAAAAUUUGGACCCGCCGCAUACCCGGCCCGAACCUUGAUUACCCACCCUGACCCACGAGUUCUCUACCUGUUUCGCCACCCCUACCUUGAACUAUCUCCUCCGUAAAAAUUAGGUUCUUGAAUUAUUUUUUUCGGCAAAAGAAGUCCCUAAAUUCAUUACAAAUUGCUAAUUUCAUCUCUAUUAUUAUAUUCAAAGGUAUUUUAUCCAAUGUUUCGUCAACUUAAGUCACUUGACACAUUUUAAAAUGUAAUACCGUCAUUUUCUCACCUAUAAGCCCUUACCAUUUCAUAAUCUAAUGUCUAAUUUACCCUUCAAAGUUAACUCCACAUACAAUUCUUUGUGAAAUUUACCAAUCUACCCUCUAAUAUGCAUCAUAUGCAAGUAACGUAACUUAAAAUUGACAGAAAAUUGAAUAUAGUAGAUUCGAAUCUAAUAUUAGAGAUAUGAUUGACAGAUUUUUAUAAUUCAAUGACUGAUUUUUCUAAAAAAUUAGUUUAGGGACCUAAUUUUUACUUAGACGAUAAUUCAGAAUUAAAUUAGCAAUUCACCCCAUUGUAUAUAACAACUUGAGAUGAACUGUCACCUAAUCACAAUGUUAAUUUUCAGUGAAUUCACGAAGCACAAUAACGUUUUAUUUGAAUGUGACUUAUUUUCGGCUGAAGUUGUCAAUCUGUUCACGUAUUUCAUGAAAGAAACAGAACAUGUUUGAUGAGUGAGAGGCCCGUGCGUGUUAACGUAAAAUAGUACCAAAGACAUUACAUCCGUACGUAAACAAAACAUUGCAUGCGAAUUACCUUUUUCACGUGGUAACAUAUAUGUGGUUGAGUUCGGAUUCUCCUAAAAAUUAGGUCAAACACUAAGGACUAUGUUUUCUGACACAUUGAGAAUAUUAGCAGAAAAUAAAACUAAUGGAUCACAAAAGGGAUUCUGUUCGUUCCUCUUAAUUCAUUAAGUUUAAAGAUUUAGAUUGUUAAAACUUAAUUCAACAGGAAUUUAUUAUAACUUUUAAAGUGAGUUCUUAUUUAUAGCUGUUGGAUCAAAUUUUAACGAUUCGGAUCCUGAACUUGAUGAAUUAGAAAAAAGAGAUCCGGAUCAUUUUCCAAUAGAUAAUUAUCCAACAGCUUUGAUGAUCUCCGCAUCAGUACAGUGUUCGUCAGCAAAUCAAUAAUUCGUCGGUAUUUUCUUCGUCACCACGCUAUUUUCAUCUCUUUUCUUGCUCACCAGGAUUUCUUCAUCUCUUUAUAUAGUUGUGGAAAAUUAAUAAUUUAUUGUCUGAUUGCUUACAGUUCACCAUGGAAACCUGGUUCCUUAUCCUCAUUGCCCUCUGCGUCUCCUUCCUCCUCAAACCCCUUCUUUCUCUAUUCCUACCCACUUCCGUCUCCAAACCCAAGCUCCCUCCCGGUCCCCGCUCCAUCCCCAUCAUCGGCGGCUUCUUGUGGAUCCUGAAACCCUUCUUGGAGAUCGAGCUUAUCAUCCGCAAACUCCAGGUCCAAUACGGGCCCAUCAUCUCCUUCUCCAUCGGCUCCCGCUCCACCGUCUUCAUCGCCGACCGCUCCCUCGCCCACCAGGCCUUCAUCCAGAACGGCGCCGUAUUCGCUGACCGACCUGGGGCCUUGGUCACCAACAAGUACACUACCAGUAACCAGCACACAAUCGCCUCCGCCGGAUACGGCACUACGUGGCGCCUCCUCCGCCGCAACCUCACCUCCGAAAUCCUCCACCCUUCCCGCGUCAAAUCCUACGGCAACGCCCGCAAAUGGGUUCUUGACAUCCUCGUCAACCGCCUCAAAACCAUGUCUCAAUCCCACUCCGAAGGUGGCGUCGUCGGUAGUGUUAGGGUGGUCGACCACUUCCAAUACGCCCUGUUCUGCCUCCUCGUUCUAAUGUGCUUCGGCGACAAAUUGAACGAAGAGCAAAUCAAAGAAAUCGAGCGGGUGCAGCGCCAACAACAUUUGAGUUUCCGGCGGUUCAACAUCCUCAAUUUCAAGCCGAAAUUGACGAAGAUUUUCCUAAAAAAUCGGUGGCGGGAAUUCUUCAAAAUCCUCGAGGAACAACGAGAAGUGCUCGUCCCUCUGAUUCGAGCACGACAAAACAAGGCAAAGCAGGGCAGGAAAAACGACGACAAAGACGAUGAAUCGGUGUUGUCGUAUACCGAUACGCUGCUGGACCUCGAGCUUCCCGACGGCAAAGAGAAGCGGAAGCUUUCGGAGGACGAAAUGGUCAACCUCUGCUCGGAGUUUCUCAACGCCGGCACCGACACUACUUCCACCGCGCUGCAGUGGGUCAUGGCUAACAUAGUAAAGUAUCCGCAAGUUC
rnacentral:lncRNA from 1 species